rnacentral:rRNA from 1 species
AGAGUUUGAUUCUGGCUCAGAACGAACGCUGGCAGCGUGGAUUAGGCAUGCAAGUCGAACGGGAAGCCGCUGAUCAAUCUUUCGAGAGAGUGAAGCGGUGGAGAGUGGCGAAAGGGUGAGUAACGCGUGGGUAAUCUACCUCUAAGAUGGGGAUAACCUUCCGAAAGGAGGGCUAAUACCGAAUGUGGUUCUCCGGCGCAUGUCGGGGAAACUGAAGGCGGGGACCUUAGGGCCUGUCGCUUAGAGAGGAACCCGCGUCCGAUCAGCUUGUUGGUGAGGUAAUGGCUCACCAAGGCUACGACCGGUAGCUGGUCUGAGAGGAUGGUCAGCCACACUGGGACUGAGACACUGCCCAGACUCCUACGGGAGGCUGCAGUCGAGGAUCAUUCGCAAUGGGCGAAAGCCUGACGAUGCGACGCUGCGUGGAGGAUGAAGGCCUUCGGGUCGUAAACUCCUGUCAUGAGGGAAAAAUUGUUUCGGCGCGAAUAACGCCGGAACUUGAUGUUACUUCAAGAGGAAGCCACGGCUAACUCUGUGCCAGCAGCCGCGGUAAUACAGAGGUGGCGAGCGUUGUUCGGAUUCACUGGGCGUAAAGGGUGCGUAGGUGGUUCCGUAUGUCGGAUGUGAAAUCCCGUCGCUCAACGGCGGAAUGGCAUUCGAAACUGCGGUUCUAGAGUGCAUGAAGGGAGAGCGGAAUUCUUGGUGUAGCGGUGAAAUGCGUUGAUAUCAAGAGGAACACCGGUGGCGAAGGCGGCUCUCUGGAAUGCUACUGACACUGAGGCACGAAAGCUGGGGGAGCAAACAGGAUUAGAUACCCUGGUAUUCCCAGCCGUAAACGGUGUACACUUGGUGUUGGGGGAGUUGACCCCUCAGUGCCGGAGCUAACGCGUUAAGUGUACCGCCUGGGGAGUACGGCCGCAAGGCUAAAACUCAAAGAAAUUGACGGGGGCCCGCACAAGCGGAGGAGCAUGUGGCUUAAUUCGAUGCAACGCGAAAACCUUACCAGGGCUUGACAUGUAACUGCACGGCCAUCGAAAGGUGGAUUCCUUAGAGGGUGUUACACAGGUGCUGCAUGGCUGUCGUCAGUUCGUGCCGUGAGGUGUUGGGUUAAGUCCCGCAACGAACGCAACCCCUGUGGUUAGUUGCCACCGCCGGUGAUGAGCCGGCGAGCACUCUAGCCAGACUGCCCCGUUUAACGGGGGGGAAGGUGGGGACGACGUCAAGUCAGUAUGGCCCUUACGCCCUGGGCUGCACACGUGCUACAAUGGCCGGUACAGAGGGAAGCAAGACCGCGAGGUGGAGCAAAUCCUUAAAACCGGCCCCAGUUCAGAUUGAAGUCUGCAACUCGACUUCAUGAAGUUGGAUUCGCUAGUAACGGCGUAUCAGCUACGACGCCGUGAAUACGUUCCCGGGCCUUGAACACACCGCCCGUCACAUCAUGAAAGCCGUCUGCACCCGUAGUCGCUGUACCAACCCGCAAGGGAGGAAGGUGCCGAAGGUGUGGGUGGUGAUUGGGAU